rnacentral:rRNA from 1 species
CCUACGGGAGGCAGCAGUAGGGAAUAUUGCUCAAUGGGGGAAACCCUGAAGCAGCAACGCCGCGUGGAGGAUGAAGGUUCUAGGAGUGUAAACCCCUUUUGUCAGAGAAGAUAAUGACGGUAUCUAACGAAUAAGCACCGGCUAACUCCGUGCCAGCAGCCGCGGUAAUACGGAGGGUGCAAGCGUUACUCGGAAUCACUGGGCGUAAAGAGCGCGUAGGCGGGAUAGCAAGUCAGAUGUGAAAUCCUAUGGCUUAACCAUAGAACUGCAUUUGAAACUGUUAUUCUAGAGUAUGGGAGAGGUAGGUGGAAUGCUUGGUGUAGGGGUAAAAUCCGUAGAGAUCAAGAAGAAUACUCAUUGCGAAGGCGACCUGCUAGAACAUAACUGACGCUGAUGCGCGAAGGCGUGGGGAGCAAACAGGAUUAGAUACCCGAGUAGUC